rnacentral:rRNA from 1 species
AUGAACGCUAGCUACAGGCUUAACACAUGCAAGUCGAGGGGCAGCAUGGUCUUAGCUUGCUAAGGCCGAUGGCGACCGGCGCACGGGUGAGUAACACGUAUCCAACCUGCCGUCUACUCUUGGACAGCCUUCUGAAAGGAAGAUUAAUACAAGAUGGCAUCAUGAGUCCGCAUGUUCACAUGAUUAAAGGUAUUCCGGUAGACGAUGGGGAUGCGUUCCAUUAGAUAGUAGGCGGGGUAACGGCCCACCUAGUCUUCGAUGGAUAGGGGUUCUGAGAGGAAGGUCCCCCACAUUGGAACUGAGACACGGUCCAAACUCCUACGGGAGGCAGCAGUGAGGAAUAUUGGUCAAUGGGCGAGAGCCUGAACCAGCCAAGUAGCGUGAAGGAUGACUGCCCUAUGGGUUGUAAACUUCUUUUAUAAAGGAAUAAAGUCGGGUAUGCAUACCCGUUUGCAUGUACUUUAUGAAUAAGGAUCGGCUAACUCCGUGCCAGCAGCCGCGGUAAUACGGAGGAUCCGAGCGUUAUCCGGAUUUAUUGGGUUUAAAGGGAGCGUAGAUGGAUGUUUAAGUCAGUUGUGAAAGUUUGCGGCUCAACCGUAAAAUUGCAGUUGAUACUGGAUAUCUUGAGUGCAGUUGAGGCAGGCGGAAUUCGUGGUGUAGCGGUGAAAUGCUUAGAUAUCACGAAGAACUCCGAUUGCGAAGGCAGCCUGCUAAGCUGCAACUGACAUUGAGGCUCGAAAGUGUGGGUAUCAAACAGGAUUAGAUACCCUGGUAGUCCACACGGUAAACGAUGAAUACUCGCUGUUUGCGAUAUACAGCAAGCGGCCAAGCGAAAGCGUUAAGUAUUCCACCUGGGGAGUACGCCGGCAACGGUGAAACUCAAAGGAAUUGACGGGGGCCCGCACAAGCGGUGGAGCAUGUGGUUUAAUUCGAAGCAACGCGAAGAACCUUACCAGGUCUUGACAUCGAUCUAAAGGCUCCAGAGAUGGAGAGAUAGCUAUAGAGAAGACAGGUGGUGCAUGGUUGUCGUCAGCUCGUGCCGUGAGGUGUCGGCUUAAGUGCCAUAACGAGCGCAACCCUUGUUGUCAGUUACUAACAGGUCAUGCUGAGGACUCUGACAAGACUGCCAUCGUAAGAUGUGAGGAAGGUGGGGAUGACGUCAAAUCAGCACGGCCCUUACGUCCGGGGCUACACACGUGUUACAAUGGGGGGUACAGAGGGCCGCUACCACGCGAGUGGAUGCCAAUCCCAAAAACCUCUCUCAGUUCGGACUGGAGUCUGCAACCCGACUCCACGAAGCUGGAUUCGCUAGUAAUCGCGCAUCAGCCACGGCGCGGUGAAUACGUUCCCGGGCCUUGUACACACCGCCCGUCAAGCCAUGGGAGCCGGGGGUACCUGAAGUGCGUAACCGCGAGGAGCGCCCUAGGGUAAAACUGGUGACUGGGGCU